AAGCCAUGAUGUGGACAUUUCCUUUGUAGCUCUUGGAAUUCCUCUCAUUCUUUAUAUAAAGUAUCACCAUCCUUCUGAAUGAAGUCAUGAAUUUCCUUUCUAAGUUU